UUAAGUUCAGCGGGUAAUCCUGACUGAUUUGAGGUCUAAAAUCAAGUUUGACUUUGGUGGUUGGCAGCUUCUACCUUUUCCUAUGCGGCCACUAAUAAAAGUGUCCUCAGCGAAUAGUCUAUUACGCCGAGUCAAUCCGAAUAACGAAAUUGAGAUGCUAAUGUAUUACGAACUAGCUAAAUGAAUAGCAAAAGCUCAAA
rnacentral:misc_RNA from 1 species